rnacentral:lncRNA from 1 species
GUAAUCGCUCUGAGAACACGCCGAUAAGGCCAUGAGAACAGGGUUAAGUUAAAUGAGACAUUCUCGUGUAGGCGUUUCAACGGGGGUUCGCUGUAUUAUCUCAAUGUCACGGGUGUUUAUUUCUAAGGUUGAUGUUACAUAAGCUGUGUGAGUGUGCGGUUGAUUCAGAUGUCUAUCAGAUGCCCCGUUUGUGUUGUUUUACUACUUACACAAUAAUUUAGUAUAAAACAUUAUUUACAAUGCACGGGUUUUUAAUCGUAUUUUAUGGGAAGACAACCCUCAUAUUCACACUAUUUACACGCUGUUCACCAAGCAGGAUCUUAAGUAAAAACACAUUUUAAACUCACCUACCAGACGCCACAAACACAAACAGAACCAAAAUCUGUCAAACAUCUUCAACGGUUUCAGUCCACAAAUAAGAGAAGACAAACUCUUCAAAACAGGUCCAGGAUUAAAAUGACAGAUGAGCUGAUGAGAGGCUGAACUGUACAGUCAUGAGAAACUCUACUGUCAGCUAAAAUAUCUGCACAUCUAUUAGUGUUGAUACGUGUGAACAUCUAGCUUCUUUUUUUUUUCUUUUUGCUCAUGUCACAUGUUAACUUGACAGCUUUUAGCUCCAGUUAGCCACAGCUUCCUCUGCUGUUCAGUGCUAAUGUCUUCAACAGAAGUAAACUGCCCCACAACAUGAUGAGAGACUAGAGAAGAUAAAAGUGUCUUAAAGCAGUGUAGCAGUGCAUCUGCUCAUGAGAUCCUGAGAGUGUUUGGCUCUGCUCUCUCCUGUAACUGUCUUCAGCUCGUUUGUCUUCAUUUCUAUCAAUUGUCUCGAUUGUUACACCUCUACAAGAAAAAAGAAAAAAAAACCUCUGCUGUUCAGUUGCUAAUGUCUUCAACAGAAGUAAACUGCCCCACAACAUGAUGAGAGACUAGAGAAGAUAAAAGUGUCUUAAAGCAGUGUAGCAGUGCAUCUGCUCAUGAGAUCCUGAGAGUGUUUGGCUCUGCUCUCUCCUGUAACUGUCUUCAGCUCGUUUGUUCUUCAUUUCUUAUCAAUUGUCUCGAUUGUUACACCUCUCAGAAAAGAAAAAAAAAAUGGGGACUGCAACAAUUUUUCACGCGUCUUAGACAAGCUGCUAAACAUUGUGACUUCUGAUUUGACAAAGAUAAUCCAUUCUGAGCAAAUGCUUGGAUAUUAGGCUGGUAACUAUGAGUAGCUUUUAGUAAUAUUCCAUUCUAUCUCCCGUUUUUGUCAUGUUAUAGUACAUUAAUGGCACAUGUCAUUACGUCACCACGCGACGCCAUC